GUAUUUGUUCUUUUGUUAACAUUUUCGGUUUUAUCUGUCCCUUCCGAGUAGAGGUGCUCCUCCUUGAUCGGUAAUGUGUGUUUUCACCCUCUCCUCACCGGGAUAGGGCUGUAAAUAUUGUUUCUAUUUAUGCUUUUGGAUUCACAUCUAGGUUUCUUGAGAGAGUUGCUUGCAUAAGAAUCUGUGGGGUUGGGUUAUCUUGAGCCUUGCUUCAUUGCUAUGUUUGGAUUCUUCUGUUUAGGCUGCUUCAAAUCGACGAGAAACGAGUUCUUGCUUUUAGUCGACAUGGUACCUCUUAAGGAUCGUAUCAAUGCCAUUCUUAUCAGCCGAACAGCUACAAAAGCUCUGCCUUGACGCCUGUCUCUCCCCUUCGGUUCGAUCUUGCCAGAGUCACAAAUAGCAUGGGGUGCGUGAAGAUCUUCUUAAGUUGCCCUAGCUCUUUACGGUUACUACUCUUUAUGCUGCCGUUGAGCCUUCCUCCCUAGCUUCAGAGAUGAUUUCUCCUAUGGUUGACUUUGAUAGUGCUGGUGGCGCAGCGCAAGCAAGCUUCUACUUCGGGUCAAUCUCUUAAGAUUGUAGCCACCCG
rnacentral:misc_RNA from 1 species